GACGAACGCUGGCGGCGUGCUUAACACAUGCAAGUCGAACGCUGAAGCUCAGCUUUUGUUGGGUGGAUGAGUGGCGAACGGGUGAGUAACACGUGAGUAACCUGCCCCCUUCUUUGGGAUAACGCCCGGAAACGGGUGCUAAUACUGGAUAUUCACUGGUCUUCGCAUGGGGGUUGGUGGAAAGGGUUGUUCUGGUGGGGGAUGGGCUCGCGGCCUAUCAGCUUGUUGGUGGGGUGAUGGCCUACCAAGGCUUUGACGGGUAGCCGGCCUGAGAGGGUGACCGGUCACAUUGGGACUGAGAUACGGCCCAGACUCCUACGGGAGGCAGCAGUGGGGAAUAUUGCACAAUGGGCGCAAGCCUGAUGCAGCGCCGCCGCGUGAGGGAUGGAGGCCUUCGGGUUGUGAACCUCUUUCGCUCAUGGUCAAGCCGCAACAAUGGUUGUGGUGAGGGUAGUGGGUAAAGAAGCGCCGGCUAACUACGUG
rnacentral:rRNA from 1 species